rfam:Stegodyphus mimosarum contig110546, whole genome shotgun sequence.
GCCUUCGUAGUUUAGUGGUCAGCACGCUCGGCGCGUAUUCGAGAUGUCCGUGGUUCGAGUCCCGGCAAGAGCA